GCAGUCGUGGCCGAGUGGUUAAGGUGAUGGACUAGAAAUCCAUUGGGGUCUCCCCGCACAGGCUCGAAUCCUGUCGACUGCG
rnacentral:tRNA from 1 species